CAUUUUUAAAUAUCUUUAAUAAACUUACAGGCCAAGAAAUAAUGUUCAUCUGAGAACAUUUUUAAAUGUUUCUUUUUUAUGUAACUGGGGGGGAAAAGCAACAAAAGAAUGCAUAGUAUAUGUCCUGGAUUUUUUUUAUAAGACCUAACAGUGAAACUAUUAGCAUUUAAAUAAAAUUUUUAAGAUUGACUGCGUGGCCUUCAAGGCAGUGUCAUACCAUGGGGAAGGUCAUCCUCCCUCCAGAGCCCAACAUUCCUGGACUCAUACCUCAGCUCCACCAUUUCCCAGCAGUGUGGAACUUAGCCUCUAAGUGCCUGAAUGCUCAAUUGCUUUUUCUACAAACUGGGGUAAUAACAGUGCCAUCUUAAAGGAUUGUGCUGGUUAAAUUAGACAACCCAGUAAAGUCUUGGCAUAGUGAUAGGCACCUAGUAAGCACUUAAUAAAUACCAGUUAUGUUAUAUUACUAAAAUCUGCCUACUUUUUUUUAUCAUGCUGAUUGAGACUGCCUUUGAUGCCCUACUAAAGGAAUUAAAAAAAUAUAUUAGCACUAGUGUCAGAAGAUAUGAGCUCUGGUCCUGUCUUUCCCACUUACCUGAUGGGUAGCUGUGGACAAAUCUCUUAAUUAAUAUCAUCAACUAUAAAAUGGAAAUAAUAAUUUGCAUUCUACCCUGUCUACUACCAGUGCUAACAGGUGGGUUUUUUUCUGUUUGUUUUGCUUCUUUGAUGUAAAGUGUUAUUCACAUGUAAUAUCCGUGGUGGUGGUGGUAGUGGUGAUGGCUGUGGGAUUCAGAGUACAAUUAAAUGUAAAGGAACACAGAAUUCACGCCUGACUCGGCCAGCUUACAGGUCACCACUUCCGACUGUCACAUCACCACCUUAAACUUCACAAUGACACUGCUCUCAAUAAUGCAAGGAAAGAAAAAGGCAUAGACAGAAAGAGAGAAAUUAAUACACAGACCCAAUUAGGCUUUCUUAAUCCAGUAUCAUUUUCAUUAUAUUAUUAAUUGUUAUUAUUAUUUUACCAUUCUUGAUCUAAAGGGCUCUAAAAUAUUUUCUUACAGAAGAAAGUAAAAGCCAAACAGUUGGCUGAAACCCAGGUCUCAUGGCAAACAGUACCGCAUUCCUUUCUCUAAGACAGCAAGUUGCAUACUCGGAUAUAGCUAUUUUACAAAGCAGGGUAUGGAAUUAUAUAAAAAGAAAGAUCCAUCUACAUUUAAAUUACAGAGAAAAAGCUAGAAGAAAAUACUUACUGUGUCUCUGUAUUUUAUAAAUUGCCACACUAAGCAUGUUAGUUUUAACAACAAAAUAAGUGAAUAAAAAUAUUCUAAACUAUAUAAUGUUCAUGGCAAUCUAAGUAAAAAGAGAUAGUUCUGAGCGUGAACCCAUUUUCCGAGGAUUCUGAAAGAACACUGCUUCUCCAAUUGCCGAGAUCAUGAAGAAAGAACCCAACCCUGGAACAAUGAAACUUCAUUAUUAGUUGGGGCUUUUUUUCUGUCUGUGUUUUAUGUCCUUGCAUUUAACUUUCCUCAGAAAUUUGGUCCGAAGAUAAUAGAUCAUUGAUCUGCUCUAGUUUUACAAAGCUCAUUUUCAUUAAGAGUUUCUAAUAAAAUCAUAUGUCCCUUGCAAGUCAGGCUUUAGUCCGCUUGGGAUAAAACAUGCUGUAAAUAUUCUAUGGCUGCACUGGUGCAAAGUUAUGAGCAAUGCAGGGUUUUAGAAAUCCGAGUGCAUAUCUCAAGAUCUGCCCCUUUACAGAUAAAGCCAACUAGUCCAAUUAAAAUCAUGCUGAAAAUUAAUACAGCACAACUGUUUUAUUAUGCACCUACUGAAUUUUAUUUUUAGAAUCCCUUUUUAAAGGGCCAUCUUAAAUAUAUUUUUUAAUUCUAAGUCCUCCUCCUCUGGCUUUUACAGAACUGAUUCCAGGUGGUGAGGUGAAGGCAUUACACAGCAAAAAAUGAAAAGAAAAGCUAUGUUAAAGCUGAAAGCAAAAUCUUUCCUCCUUAAAACAUGAAAUUUCCAGAUAUAAGAUUUCAAACACCGAUUAAGCUUAUGUUUGAAACAACAUAAAGAUAUGAAAUGUUUUUAAUUUUUUAAAUACUUCACUUAACUUUUUAUAAAAACAGUCACUGACAGAAAUAUAAGGCAAUAUUCAAUGAAUAAAAAUUUUGGCAAGGGGAACAAACACCACUUCAGUGGUUAAUAUUAGAAAAAGAACACUGAGGUUCAAAUGGACUUGGUUUAAUUAAAGACAAUAAGGACACGUACAUCCCAAUUUUCCUGACAAAAAAAACAGCCUUUCUUCCCUGAGAAUAUUGUUAUUUUGCUUUCAACACCUGAAAUAAAAAAAGAACAAAAGUCAAAUCUGCUUUCAAAGUUUGACAUGCCUAGGCUCAAGUAGAAAUAAGUAUUAUAGUUUUCACUUUCCUUAUGGUCCCUCUCCAGGUGACCAAGUUCCUAACUCCCUACAUCAACCCCUUAACUAAUCAGCAGAGGUUUGGUUUAUAAUUGUUCAUCAUGAGUUCUAACAUCAGCUCCCAGGCAAAAGGAUCAGGUUUAAGACAGCACAGUAAAUUGGGAAAAAGGGAGAUAAUCUAAUCUUAGAUUCAACCUACCCAUUUGACAGUGGUGUCUUUCAUCCAGAGCUUCUUGCUUGCUGCCCGGCUCCCACAUCCCAUCUUUGUAUUUUUAUGUAUCAAAAGUGAACACUUUAAAGUGUAAGGCAAUAUGGGAAGAAGGAAGAAAAUGCCCAACUCUUCAUUUUUCUAACCAUAUUUUUGGACCCAAUAAACCCAUAUGAAUAAGCCCCUUAUGCAAAGGAUAUUUUACCAUUAUCAUAAGAUAAGACUUCAGAAUAGCUAUCUCUUAACUACAAAGUUAACAUUUUCACUUCAUCUACUGAAGGAACACACAGUAUGCUCUGUAUUUCCCUAGAAAGUGAUUCAAAACACACUGUAACUUGUGGGACAACAAUUAAGAGAUAAUUUCAUUAUAAAUGUAUAAUUCUAAAUUUAUAUCUAAAUCAUGUGGGAUUGCCUAUUUAAAAUAAAUUAUAAAAGUAUUAGAGUCAAACUCAACAGUGCUGUAAAUUCAGAUAAAUCCUUAUGCUUUUUUCCUUUCUUGUUAAUACUUUCAGAAGAUUCCAUAGCCUUAUUGUCAUCAGGGUAAAAAAAGUAAAAGCAAAGCUUUACAUUUCUUUCUAUGACAAAUAUUAGCAUGAUAAAUGUUCUUCAAAAAUAUGAGACAACGAUGGAAAAUGUUAUAGAUUUUUUAAAAGUUUUUAUAAUACAUUCACUAAUGAGCAUAACCUUCAAGUCACCUUCAAACACGGUGAUUAAAGUGAAAAGUCUAAUACAAAAAUAAAACAUUUUGAUAAAUGUGGAACUGGAUCCAUCAUUUUUUAAGCCAUGAGAACUUUUUUUCCUUAGUAAGGUGUCUGUUAUAACUCUGCAUUAUCCUGUUGUGGUCAGACUGAACAAUAUACUGCGUGUGACAUUGAAGUUACAAUUAAAGCUAUGGAGUCUAGACACUCACUGAAUUUAGCUUGAGUAAUUGGCUGUUGUUUUGUUUGUACGCAAUGUUUUCCUCCUUCUGUAACCCGUUGGAAGCUUAACAAUUUCUGAGCUAGUUUCAAUACAAGGCAAAACAGGCUAAUUGUGAAGUUAGACAUGUGUUCCCUUGUGAAUGUCUCUCUGCAGAGUCAUUUCAUUUUCACAGAUCUGAAGAAAACUAACAGCAGCAGCCUGCGGGUUAACCAUUUGCUCCUUUUACCUAAAGCAUGCUAAGUGCAUAUGCAUCAUGAAAUUGCCAAAGGCUUUUAUUUUUUUUUAAGUACUAGUAAAAGUAGAAAGUAAUAAGUAACCGAAGCAUAAUUACUAUAUAAUUAGCAAGUACUUGUAAAAGUAGAAAGUAAUUACUGCAUAAUUAGCAUUUUGGCCUUAUCUGAUCACAUCUUUCUCCGAGUCCUGUCUGGAGACUGGCAGUACUGAACAAAAAGGCAGGACUUUUUUUUUUCUUUUUUCUUUUAUUUUUCUAUCUGAAACCAGAAAACCCUGUUUUUACAAUAUUCACAGGCCAGUCCCCUCAUUCUGUCAUCUGUCUCUCCAACAGCUUGAGACAUGGGCUCUCUUUGCCUGAAAGAGAACCAUCCCAUCACUCAGGAAACUAGAACAAUCUUCCCCCGCACAGCCUGCAAUACUGCAGUUUGACAUUAAUGAACCAAAAGUAACUCCCUAAACUAACCCCUGCUAUUUUAAAAUACAAGUGGGCCAAGAGAUCUUAUAGAAAUAAAAUCUAAAAAUAAAAAUCUUUAGAAAUCCAGGCCUUUUCUGAUUACUCACUGAUUGACAUGAUCUUAUCAUUUAAUAAAACAAGGACUAGAGAAAGCAUGCUGUGAAAACAUUAAGUCUGGAGUCUCUACUUUUCAUAAGCAGUGGUUUCUCUCAGCCAUCAUUGUGCCUGUUGUCCCAGCAAACAUGGUCAUGAGUCCUGCCUACUGCUCCUCACUUUGCCUUACAGUAAUCUGAACUUUUUUACCCUGAAUUACCCCCCAAAAGACAUGUUAACAGCAGUGCACCAGAUAGCAGGAAGUCUGUGUAGAUUCCUUGUUUAAAGAAACCUGCUGAAAAAUGUGAAAAAUCUAUUCCAAAUUAGUCAUUCAAAUCUAAAUAAGGAAAUAUAUUACACUUUAAAUGAAGAAAAAUAUCUGGUUUUACUCAAGGUUGUGGUGAAUCUGUUUGACAACUUUUAAAUUAAUUCAUAUGCUUUUCAAUCAUCGCAGUUACCUGUAGGGAGUACUAAACAGAGAGAUGACAAGGCAAUGCUUUGUGUUCAAACUUAUAAACUAUAUUUCCAUGGACUUUUCAUCUCAUCCUUUCCAAGGAAUAUUUGACCUUCAAAUUUUAGGCCCUCUUGAUUUCAUGCAUCUAUCAUGUUAGAAAACUCAAACUGGCCUACAAGUUGAAUGAAUUUUAGUUGUUUUCAAAAUCUGCAAUCUGUUCAUGGUGCCAACCCUGCAUUGCAGAGAAAUCUUAGUGUGCGAUUCCAGCUUGACUCCCACAAACAAAGUCACUACAAAUAGGUUUUAACUAUCUUUGUGGGGACGAGGGGGCGGGGAGGGGGGAGAGAAGAGGAAGGAAACCCCCACUCUGGUCAGCCUGACAGGCCAUGCUGGGUGACAAGCCCCCGGAGGCAGAAUCCCUGCGCGCACCGGCCUGGGCGCUGUCCUUGGUGCUGACGGCGCCAUAGCGAGCACAAGCGCCUUACCUUCUGCCCCCGUGGAAGCUGCGGACGUCCCCCAAACGUUAAGCGAAAUAUAGCGUCAUAUCUCACUUUUAAUACAAAUAACUACCCCGGCCCAUCCAUCCUCUUUGUUCUCUUCCCGAAGCCUUCAGGCUGAUCGUUCCUCAGCAUCUUUUUGUUUUUUUCUUCUAGUCCUAACUCGCUCCUCUCGGUCAGCUUUAAGAGGAAGAGUGGGGGGAGGGAGGCCAGAGGAAAUGAGGGUGGGGGAAGGGACAGAGGAGGGGGAGGGGAGAAGGAAAGAAUGGCAAGAAAAAGGUCCUGGAGGGGAGGGCUCAGAGAAGGGCAGAGAGAGUGGGACUAAAGAAGGCUUACAGUGGGAGGGCGAAGAGAUGCCAAAAAGAGGGAAAAGUGAUUAAGCAUAGAAAAAUGAGUAAGGAAAAAAGUAAUGGAUAAAAGAUAAAAGAAGAGAAAGUUGUGGGGAUAAGAGUGCAGAGGGCUAAGAAAAAAGCAAGGUGGUCGGGGGGUGGGGAGAAAAGCUGCCCUAACGGCGGGAGAAUGAAAA